rnacentral:lncRNA from 1 species
AGAGGAGUUAUAACCCAGUCAGUAUAGAGGAGUUAUUACCCAGUCAGAUAUAAGGAGUUACACCCAGUCAGAUAUAGAGGAGUUAUUUACCCAGUCAGAAUAUAGAAGGGAGUUUACCCAGUCAGAUAUAGGAGUUAUUAACCCGGUCAGAUAUAGAGGAGUUAUAACCCAGUCAGAUAGAGGAGUUAUUAACCCAGUCAGAUAUGAGGGUUAUUAACCCAGUCAGAUAUAGAGGAGUUAUUUACCAGUCAGAUAUAGAGGAGUUAUCACCAGUCAGAUAUAGAGGAGUUAUUUACCCAGUCAGAUAUAGAGGAGUUAUUAACCCAGUCAGAUGAGUUAUUCACCCAGUCAGAUAUAGAGAGUUUAACCCAGUCAGAGAUUAUAUUAACCCAGUCAGAUAUAGAGUUAGUUGAUUGAUACCCAGUCAGAGGAGUUAUUAACCCAGUCAGAGGAGUUAUUAACCCAGUCAAAGGAGUGAUUAACCCAGUCAGAUAUAGAGAGUAAUAACCCAGUCAGAGGAGUUAUUAACCCAGUCAGAGGAGUUAUUAACCCAGUCAGAUAUAGAGGAGUUAUUAACCCAGUCAGAUAUAGAGGAGUUAUUAACCCAGUCAGAUAUAGAGGGGUUAUUAACCCAGUCAGAUAUAGAGGAGUUAUUAACCCAGUCAGAUAUAGAGGGGUUAUUUACCCAGUCAGAUAUAGAGGAGUUAUUUACCCAGUCAGAUAUAGAGGAGUUAUUUACCCAGUCAGAUAUAGUUUCGUGACUAGAGGAUUUUAGUCACUAAAUUGUUUCCUAUCCCUUUUCCUUUCAAUGACA